rnacentral:rRNA from 1 species
GACAGAGGGUGCAAACGUUGCUCGGAAUUACUGGGCGUAAAGCGCGUGUAGGCGGCCAACUAAGUCGGACGUGAAAUCCCUCGGCUCAACCGGGGAACUGCGUCCGAUACUGGAUGGCUUGAAUCCGGGAGAGGGAUGCGGAAUUCCAGGUGUAGCGGUGAAAUGCGUAGAUAUCUGGAGGAACACCGGUGGCGAAGGCGGCAUCCUGGACCGGCAUUGACGCUGAGGAGCGAAAGCCAGGGGAGCAAACGGG